CCGCAAGGCUAAAACCCAAAGGAAUUGACGGGGGCUUACACAAGCGGUGGAGCAUGUGGUUUAAUUCGAAACAACGCGCAAAACCUUACCAAUCCUUGACAUAUGAAAAACCAGGGUGUUUACCCGCUCUGUCUCUUUUAUACAGGUGCUGCAUGGCUGUCGUCAGUUCGUGGUGUGAGUUGUUGGGUUAAGUCCCAGAACGAACGCAACCCUCCUUUGAAAUGAAGGUUUACCUUUUUCAAAGACUGCCAAGGAUAUCUUGGAGGAAGGUGAGGAUGACGUCAAGUCCGCAUGGCCCUUAUGGGUUGGGCUACACACGUGCUACAAUGGGAAUGACAAAAGGAGGCAACAUGGCAACAUUGAGCAAAUCCCAAAAAGUUUCCUUAGUUCGGAUUGUUCUCUGCAACUCGAGAACAUGAAGUUGGAAUCGCUAGUAAUCGUAGAUCAGCACGCUACGGUGAAUUUGUAUCUAAGCCUUGUACACACCGCCCGUCACACUCUGAAAAUUUUCAUGCCUUGAAGCAAAAGAAGCUCACCAAGAACACACAGCGCAAUUAAAAAAAAACAUCUUCCCUUUUUUUUCUGUGUCUUUGUUGGAACCUUUUCUAGAGUUAGGGAGGUGAUUGGAGUG
rnacentral:rRNA from 1 species